ACUCUAAUAGUUUAUAAAAACGUUGGU
rnacentral:tRNA from 1 species